rnacentral:rRNA from 1 species
UACGUAGGGUGCGAGCGUUAAUCGGAUUUACUGGGCGUAAAGCGUGCGCAGGCGGCUCGUUAAGACAGGUGUGAAAUCCCUGGGCUCAACCUAGGAAUUGCGCUUGUGACUGGCGGGCUCGAGUACGGUAGAGGGGGGUGGAAUUCCUGGUGUAGCAGUGAAAUGCGUAGAGAUCAGGAGGAACACCGAUGGCGAAGGCAGCCCCCUGGGCCUGUACUGACGCUCAGGCACGAAAGCGUGGGGAGCAAACAGG